rnacentral:rRNA from 1 species
UACGGGAGGCAGCAGUGGGGAAUAUUGCACAAUGGGCGCAAGCCUGAUGCAGCCAUGCCGCGUGUAUGAAGAAGGCCUUCGGGUUGUAAAGUACUUUCAGUCGUGAGGAAGGUGUUAAGGUUAAUAACCUUAGCAAUUGACGUUAGCGACAGAAGAAGCACCGGCUAACUCCGUGCCAGCAGCCGCGGUAAUACGGAGGGUGCGAGCGUUAAUCGGAAUUACUGGGCGUAAAGGGCACGCAGGCGGUUAAUUAAGUUGGAUGUGAAAUCCCCGGGCUUAACCUGGGAAUGGCAUUCAGACUGGUUAGCUAGAGUCUUGUAGAGGGGGUUAGAAUUCCAUGUGUAGCGGUGAAAUGCGUAGAGAUGUGGAGGAAUACCGGUGGCGAAGGCGGCCCCUGGACAAAGGCUGACGCUCAUGUGCGAAAGCGUGGGGAGCAAAC